AAGGAAGAAAGAAAGGAAGUGGUGGCUUGGAGCAGAUAAUACCUGGAUGCCACGCCCCCGGCAACCCUUGGACCUCACCGCCCCGUUGAAGAGGCGUCAUGCCCCAUGCUAGAUGGAAAAAAGUCAGGCUCUGAGACACCAGCAAUUUCCCCGGGCCACUGGGCUUCCAACCCAGAGUCUACAAGAUGAGCACAGCCCAACAUGGAGAAGGGUCUAGGACAGCAGUUGAAGCUUGGAGAUCAGCUGAGCCUGCGAUUUGGGACAGCAGACAGUUCCUAGUGCUCAAGGGGGACCGGGAGGCAGAGGAAUUGGGUCAGCUCCUGGUCCAGCCUCCUAUAAGGCCUGGCCAGUGAGUAAUUUUGCCUCUGUUUCCAUCCUCAGGGGGGUGAGGUGGAAGGGAGCCAUCAUUCAGGGCAGCGGGGAGGACUGACUCUGUUUUCUGUGAACUUUCAGUUCCUAUCUUCUGCCUAUUGUUUUCUAUUCAGUUGUUGGUCUUACUUUCUCAAAUUUUGGGAGUUCUUUCUAUGUGUGGAAAGUCAGCCUUUGUGAUUCUGUGGUCUGAGGUGCACAUAUUGUCUAGUCUGUCAUUUGUCUCCUGAUGUUGGUUAUGUGUUGUGUGUGUGUCUGUGUGUGUGUUUGAGUGUAGUCAGGGUUAUCUAUCAUCCUUGUGAUGCUUGUGGCUUCGGGGUUGGAGUUAGGGCCGCCUUCCCCAACGUGAUCCCUGCUUCUCUUGGUUCUUGCAAAGUCUGUCUGUUUACCCUGGGGCUGUCCAUGCCCUGGCUUUGAUAGUGUGAAGUGUGGAACCAGUUUCAUCUUCUUCCAAAGGCUGCUCCUUGGCCCCAAUGCUAUUUGUUAAAUGGCCCAACUUGCUCCCCUGGACCCUUUGUCCUGGGGUCCAUCCCUGGGCCCUCCUCUCCCUGGGUAUGUGCUGGCCUCUGUGUCCAGAAGGCAAAAGGACCCAUGGACUCACCUGAGCAGGGGAUUUUUCACAGGCAACCACCUUGC
rnacentral:lncRNA from 1 species